AAAUUGAAGAGUUUGAUCAUGGCUCAGAUUGAACGCUGGCGGCAGGCCUAACACAUGCAAGUCGAGCGGUAACACAGAGAGCUUGCUCUCGGGUGACGAGCGGCGGACGGGUGAGUAAUGUCUGGGAAACUGCCUGAUGGAGGGGGAUAACUACUGGAAACGGUAGCUAAUACCGCAUAACGUCGCAAGACCAAAGUGGGGGACCUUCGGGCCUCAUGCCAUCAGAUGUGCCCAGAUGGGAUUAGCUAGUAGGUGGGGUAACGGCUCACCUAGGCGACGAUCCCUAGCUGGUCUGAGAGGAUGACCAGCCACACUGGAACUGAGACACGGUCCAGACUCCUACGGGAGGCAGCAGUGGGGAAUAUUGCACAAUGGGCGCAAGCCUGAUGCAGCCAUGCCGCGUGUGUGAAGAAGGCCUUCGGGUUGUAAAGCACUUUCAGCGGGGAGGAAGGCGGUGAGGUUAAUAACCUCA
rnacentral:rRNA from 1 species